GCGAACGCUGGCGGCAGGCCUAACACAUGCAAGUCGGACGGAUCCUUCGGGAUUAGUGGCGGACGGGUGAGUAACACGUGGGAACGUGCCCUUUGGUUCGGAACAACUCAGGGAAACUUGAGCUAAUACCGGAUGUGCCCUUCGGGGGAAAGAUUUAUCGCCAUUGGAGCGGCCCGCGUCUGAUUAGCUAGUUGGUGAGGUAACGGCCCACCAAGGCGACGAUCAGUAGCUGGUCUGAGAGGAUGAUCAGCCACACUGGGACUGAGACACGGCCCAGACUCCUACGGGAGGCAGCAGUGGGGAAUCUUGCGCAAUGGGCGAAGGCCUGACGCAGCCAUGCCGCGUGAAUGAUGAAGGUCUUAGGAUUGUAAAAUUCUUUCAGCGGGGACGAUAAUGACGGUACCCGCAGAAGAAGCUCCGGCUAACUUCGUG
rnacentral:rRNA from 1 species